GUAAGCUGAUGUUUAGUAAGAGGAGGAAGGUGGGAAUGAAUUUGGAGCAAUGUGCUGGGGAUAGAUUGUGGAUGAGUUCAUCAUAGGGUUUCUCUGAGCAUCUCUUCUAGCCAGCUUGGGAGAUGUGAAGUUGACCUAUUUGUAUUGAGGCAGGGCUGCCCUGCUAUACCCAUAUGCUGGGACUGGAAGGAAACACUAGUCUCUCCUUUCCUGGGUCCUUCACCAUCAGUUCACCUUUCUGAGGCUGAUGUACAUUUGAUGGAUCUAGUGGUUGCCUCCUCCUUCUGACCUCCAGUGUUCAGAUUGCCUACUGACCUGGCCUCUGGGGCUGAGCCACAAUAUCAAUUCUGAUCAUCCCAGAGAAAGGCCUCAAGGGACAGUUUGUCUCUGGUGAAUGCUGACCUUGAAGAACCAAGCAAUCUCUCCACAAUUGAUACCACAAGAGAAUUAUUUUAUUUUUGGCUGGCAUCUCUGCUGCAGAGUUUUAUUUGUGCUACUUAGGAGUGUGCUGAUACAAUGAGCUGAGUGAUAGAAUGCUGUAGAAUGGCUUUAAAAGUUUUACUAAUAGUCAAAUGAUGAGAUGCAGAGAACCCAGUCCACUUAGCUAACUGAAAUGAAAAUAUAGGCCAUAUAUUUGUUUACGAUGAGCAUGUUAUCCACAAUAAUUACCUGUGUUGGUACUUUCUAUUUAAAGUAUGAAAAUUGCAUGUUAAGUUUUGUGAAACAUGAAAUGCAUAACUUCUAGAAUUUGUUUUCCUUUCCGUAUCUGCUGAUUCAGCUCUUUGGGAAUGUAGGUGUUUUGUUGCUGCUGCUUCUGCUGCUGUUUCCAGUGCUUGGAGUAAAACUCAGGGCUCUGUGCAUCUUGGAGAUUUGUGUAUGGAUGUGUGUGUGCAUACUUGUGUGUGUGUGGGGGGGGCUUUAGCUCCAUUUUAAUUUUUGUAAUUUUAAUUACAAAAAAAAGCCUAUUAAAGCCUGUAGCAAAGGCAUGGGAUUAGAUUUUCAUGAUGUUAAAUGAAACAAUAAUUACUUACAAUAAAAUUCCCAAACCAUAAACAACUUAAGAGAAAUGUAUCAUUUGGUCUCAAACCUAAUUAAAAUCGUUUGUGCUACAGUGUCUUCAAAAAAGCAGGAAGACCAUGUAGAGAAUGAAAGAAAACAGAAGUCAUAUCUCUAAGAAGGGACAACUGUCAAGAAUAUUUAAGGAAAUCUUGUAAUGUAAAAAAAAAUAAAGAUAAUCUACUUUAAAACUGG
rnacentral:lncRNA from 1 species